rnacentral:rRNA from 1 species
UGGGGAAUUUUGCACAAUGGGGGAAACCCUGAUGCAGCGACGCCGCGUGAUUUAGAAGGCCUUCGGGUUGUAAAAAUCUUUUCUAUGGGAAGAAAAUGACAGUACCAUAGGAAUAAGGACCGGCUAAUUACGUGCCAGCAGCCGCGGUAAUACGUAAGGUCCGAGCGUUGUCCGGAAUCAUUGGGCGUAAAGGGUACGUAGGCGGGUAAGCAAGUUAGAAGUGAAAUCCUAUAGCUCAACUAUAGUAAGCUUUUAAAACUGCUCAUCUUGAGGUAUGGAAGGGAAAGUGGAAUUCCUAGUGUAACGGUGAAAUGCGCGGAUAUUAGGAGGAAUACCGGUGGCGAAGGCGACUUUCUGGCCAUAACCUGACGCUGAGGUACGAAAGCGAGGGUAGCAAACAGG